GGGGUGUGGUGUUUGAGUUGUGGAUAGUGGUUGCGAGCAUCGAGACGCGGCGCAGGGUUUCUUGUGUCGUGUUUCGUGUAAUGCAAAUUUUUCUGAUACUCGCAUGCGUUCUGCUCUUUUGGGGGUGGGGUGUGUGCGGGUGACUCAUUUUUUGGUUU
rnacentral:misc_RNA from 1 species